UACGUAGGGUGCAAGCGUUGUCCGGAAUCAUUGGGCGUAAAGAGCGUGUAGGCGGCCCGAUCAGUCCGCUGUAAAAGUCCAGGGCUCAACCCUGGGAUGCCGGUGGAUACUGUCGGGCUAGAGUCCGGAAGAGGCGAGUGGAAUUCCUGGUGUAGCGGUGAAAUGCGCAGAUAUCAGGAGGAACACCAAUGGCGAAGGCAGCUCGCUGGGACGGUACCGACGCUGAGACGCGAAAGCGUGGGGAGCAAACAGG
rnacentral:rRNA from 1 species